UCCUACGGGGGGCAGCAGUGAGGAAUAUUGGUCAAUGGGCGGAAGCCUGAACCAGCCAAGUCGCGUGAGGGAAUAAGGCCCUAGGGGUCGUAAACCUCUUUUGCCGGGGAGCAAGGGCGGGGACGUGUCCCGGCCCGGAGAGUACCCGGAGAAAAAGCAUCGGCUAACUCCGUGCCAGCAGCCGCGGUAAUACGGAGGGCGCGAGCGUUAAUCGGAAUUACUGGGCGUAAAGCGCGCGUAGGCUGUUGUGUAAGUUGGGGGUGAAAUCCCACGGCUCAACCGUGGAACAGCCCUUGAUACUGCGG
rnacentral:rRNA from 1 species